GCCCGUUAAAGCGGUACGCGAGCUGGGUUCAGACCGUCGUGAGACAGGUCGGUCUCUAUCCGCUGUGGGCGUAAGGGACUUGCGGAGAGCUGCCCCUAGUACGAGAGGACCGGGGUGGACAGACCGCUAGUGUGCCAGUUGUCGUGCCAACGGCAUCGCUGGGUAGCUAUGUCUGGCAGAGAUAACCGCUGAAAGCAUCUAAGUGGGAAACUCGCUCCUAGAUUAGGUCCCUCAUCCCGGACGCAAGUCCGGGAGUAAGGCCGCAGGAAGACCACCUGCUUGAUAGGCGGCCGGUGUAAGCGCAGUAAUGCGUUCAGCCAAGCCGUACUAAUGGCCGAGGACUUCCCUGC
rfam:Chloroflexi bacterium RBG_19FT_COMBO_55_16 rbg_19ft_combo_scaffold_2259, whole genome shotgun sequence.